UCCAGAUUUUAACAGUGUAAGCUUUUUACUAUAUCAACUUCAGUACAUGAAUACAGCUUGACAUUUUAAAGUCUAACACUUCUAUAAUUCCGUUUGUGCUGGAACAGGCAAAUCCACUGGAUUCAGAUGACUUAAAACUGAACUGUAGUUUGACAGAUCCCAUAUACUAACUACAUAAGUGUUUAUAUCCUCUAUAAAGAAGUCUACUUUAAAAUAAGUGGACUUUUCAUGUGAUGUAUGUAGAUACUGUCUCGAUCAGUAAGAAAAUAUAGAAAACCCACAAUUUAACUUUUACACCAGAAAGAGCUCUAAUUGUAUAUUUUAUUUCAUCUUCUUUUUCUGUUAGAGACACUUCAUAUAAAGUGGGACAGUCACUAUUAGGAAAUAAAAAGCUUUUUCAUUCAUCCAUCUGCAGUAAGUGCUUUAUCCUGGCCAUGGUGGAUCCAGAGUCUAUCCCAGGAACACUUAAGGUGUGAAUACAUCCUCAAUUGGACACCAAUUAAUCGCAGGGCAAUGUACACACACACAGACACACACAGACCUAAGGACAAUUUAGCAUGGCCAAUCCACCUACAGGGACUUGGGAGGAAACUGGAAAAGCUGGAGAAACCCUAUACAGACACGGGAAGAACAUUUGAAAUUUCACACAGACACUGAACCCAGCUAGGAAUCGAGCUGGGACCAUGGAGCUGCACCAUGUCAGCAAGCAAAAUAUAUAGCAAAAUUACACAUAACCAUUAGUUUAAUUUUUAAUAUUUACUUUUACAUUAAAUAAUUGUUGUUGUUUUUUUUACAUUAAUGUGGUUUUAUAGUGCAAAGCAUUUAAUUAAACAUUUUCAUUUAGUAGGCAUCACAAAGAAAGCAGAGCUGCUCAAUCAGACUAAGCUGGGGUUACUUCUAAAAACUGGUUAAGAACUAUUCAAACUUAAAAUGUAACUUCUAAGUUGAAUUUUUUAAAGUAAGACAGAACAUUAAAAAGGUUUAAAAAUACAGUCUGAAAUAUUAAUAAAAUGUUUGUACACAAUCUAAAUUAUUUACUAUUCUUUACAUAGGGCCCACUCCCUCUAUUAUAAGUUACACUGGGGGCCAUGUUUUAAGGCCACUGGUUAAAAUAUUUACUCUUCCUCUUUUUAAUUUUUUUUAACCUGAUUAUUAAAUGGUUGUGUGAACUAUUUUAUUUUUGCAUGUAACUAAAAUCCUCCACUGCACAUUUCAGGUGAUUCAGCUGCCAGGAUAAAGGGGUCCAGGUCAAAUUCUGGAACUGAGAACGGCAGAUCUGAAAUCACAUCAUCCAAGCAGGCAGAUGGCACUGUAAAAAUAAGAGAACAAUACAUUUACUCUACAGUUCAGUCUAAUCAAUUUAGGAGCUGAUGACAGAGGAAGCUAAAAUAUGAUGCAGGAAAAAAUUAUGUAUAAUGUAAAAAACAAAACAAAACCAUGACUGGUAUAUUAACUGCCAAAAUAGAUGAUAAAUUAUGCCAGACCUGCAGAAUCGAUGCUGGGAAAACUACGAGACACAUCAUUACUGUAACUCUGGGUUGGUGAGUUCCUGAAGUGCUCAACAUCACACAGAUGUUUCCCCUCUACAUCCUGACAUUUGGAGUCAGAAUUUCUGGUGACCUUAUGGAGUUGGCCAAGCUGUACAACAAAUAUGAGAAGAAUGCGAUUCAACACUAACAGUUCAGCAGAGUGUAAACAGUAGUUAAUAAACUGCAGAUAUACAGAACAUUUUGCUCAUGUCUACCUUCUGUGAGAGAGCUUCUGUCUGGCUCGGUGUCAGGUGAAGUCCAACAUAAGAUUUCUGCAAAGUAAAAUGAAGAGUAACAAACAAAACCGUGAUGUGCCAAAGGUCUUACUGUUUUCCUUUCCGUGUGUCUCGGCUUGGGACACUUCACAGGUUCAAACUGUGACAUUUUCUACUAAAUGAAGUUCUGAAAAACUAGUUACAGCAUAUUAAUGUGAAAAAGGAGAAAACUGCAUUUAAAAGAUCUCACUCAGAGGACUGGGCGGUGCAACCAAAAAGUGUUUGGCCUAUCGUUCAAACAUGAAUCCAGAUAAUGCCACAGGCAUCGUUGACUGGGAGUCUAAGAGAGCAAAAUUGUCCAUAGGAGGGACGGCGUUAUUCUCCAAUCAGAGUAACACUAAUCAGUGCUGGUCAUCUGUGAGCAAAAGAUGGCUAGCUUGAAUCACAGAGGAAGCUCAUGCUAGUCUUUAUCCUCCCAUGUAAAAUAUGUUGUACACUAGUAGGUGGGAAUUAUAAAUGAACGUCGAGAAAGUGGGGAAAAAAUAAUAAACGGUUUCAAUCAGACUCCACUAAAAGGUACAAACACACUAACUUUCUAAAAGCAACUGCUAUUUAUUGAUUUCCCAGACAUUUCAUUUAAUAUGCAAUAAAUAGUAUAUAAAUAAAUUAUAAGUAUUUUUUUGUGGACUAUAUAUUUGUUUUCUUAAAGAAAAAAAAAAUAUUUUAAUCAAAAGCUGAUUUUUCAUCAUUUGUGGCUGUUUUCCAGAUUUCAGCUACAAUGCUAUUAGACUUUACACACAUUCUAAUGUAAUGUAACAUGGAAUAUAGUAUUUAUUAGGACUGCUGUAUUAGUGUAAAAACAUAUGGGUGUCGUAUAAAGUAUUCAGUAUAUUUCUAGCUCUGGAAACUUGUGUCUUUACAUUCUGUAAUUUUCUAGGCCUGCGUAAGAACUGUGUACAUAGAUUCUGUAUACAUUUACUGGUGAAUGUGUGAAUAAAGUGAUGUUUUAAAAUUUAGCACCAAACUGAAAAAAAUCCCCAUGGUUUUACCAUCUCCCAAAAUUGGGAUUACCCUACACAAGUCAGGUUAAUAAGAACGAAGUGCAGCACUCACAUUGCGAAGCCCGAAUUUAUUAUCCGGUGAACUGGUGGAAGCCAUUUUAUUAAACUGGAGAGCUUUCUGAGAAUGGACUGGUUUAGAGCUGUGAGCUCUCCCUCUUUCAGUUUCUUGGACUAGCUUCUUGGACUGUAGUUUUGGCCGUUCCUUCAAGUGCAUAUAUGUCCCGAGAGAUCUUUGUCUUCUCAUAUCAGGGACGUUUUGUCGAUUUAAAGGAUUGUUCCAUGAGGUGCAUUCAUCCUGAGCUGCCAGGACAGUUUGAUGGUGAAGAGGUUGCUGAUUCUGAGGAAUUUCAUCUUUGCUUUGGCAGUGUAGCGGGUUCUGGUUGUCGUUUAUGAGAUGUAUUUCGUGAUUCCAGCAUUGGUUGAGUUGUUGGUAUUGCUGUUGGUACUGUGGUGGAAAUUGUUGUGUUUGUUGCUGUAAGUAUUGUUGAGUCUGUGCACAGUUUAUUGGUUGUUGCUGUGACUGUUGAUUACUUUGAGUCUGCUGGUACUGCUGUGGUGCAUGCGGUGUGUGUUUGUCUAGCUGUUGCUGUGGUGUGUAGUGAUAUGGACUCAGUAGGCUGUCCUGUGUUUGGCAUUGUCGGUUCUGAAGCUGCAUAUAAUGUGGUUGUGGUUUACACUGGGAGCUUAACAGCUUUGAGCCUUGCUGUUGGCACCAUCUGGUAUUUUGUCUGCAUCCCUCAGACUGAUGGAGCUGCCAAGACUGAGAAGAAUUAUGAACCUUUGGAGUCCCUGUUAGAGGAAAUUGACUGUAAGGAUAUGGUGGUGGUUUGACCUCUUGUCGUAGUUUUGCGCUGUUAAGUGCAACCCCCUGUGAGAAUAUCCAAAUCAGAGACUGAUAUUCCAACAGUUUAUAUAAAAUCAUUUGAAUUCACAUACAAAAUGUGACAGAUUAGAAAUACACCAAAUACAUGAAAUGUUCAUGCUAUAAUAUAAAAAAAUAUGCAAUGUCUUCAUAGUGAAACGAGUGUGCAAACUUUUGCACACAACCAUACUUGACUCUUCCAUUAAUUGCUUUAAUUAUUAAACUCCUUACAUUACAUUCAAUACAUUCAAAUCUUACUUGGGUUAUACAGGAGAGCGUGGGAGACAGAGUCGGUUGUUGCCAAAGCAAUUCUUCACCACUGGGCACCAUUAACGGGCUGAGCUGGCUUCUCCUUACUGAUGAAGUCGUAUGCGACACCGUUACCUGCCCACUAGUACGUGGUGAGCAGGAGAGAGAAGAUGAGGAGCAAGAGCGAGAUGCACCGAUCCCACUACUAUAGCUGCAGCUGCUAGCUGUUGACUGGAAAGACUGGUUACUCAGAGACAAGCUACUAACGGAGGACCGCAGGGACUGGCUACUAAGGGAGGACUUCAGGGACGAGCUGCUUAGUGACGUGCACAGGGACGUAGAGCUUAGAGAGUCAUGUAGUGAAGGGCUGCUAAGCGUCGUCUGGAGAUUAGGGUUGCUGAGAGAAGACUGAAGCAAGGGAUUACCGACGAGCGCCUGGAGAGAUGAUAACAAACCUGAGAAAAGAAGGAAAAAAAGGACCAUUACAAACCAGUUACCUCAGAGGUUCACAUCACUGAAAUGUCUGGACAUUGUGCAGAAUCAUCAAAU
ensembl:lncRNA